AGAACGCAGAACUCACAGUCGCUCCAGAGAGGGGGGGAGGAAAAAAAAGAACCCUUUCAUCACGUCGGGGUUUUCUUCGCUGUUUUGUUUCACUUAAGACAUCACUCGGGAGCAAAUGGGACAUGAUGUACGUCUGCAUUCCUCGGCCCGAGGAAUUCUCGGCGUUCGGGUUUCGUUGCCUUUAAGUGACAGGAAGCAGCACUUCACCCUGAUUUUUGCAGCAUUGUCUGAGAAUUAACCACAACAUAAUGCAGGUACAGAAAAUUCGGAUGACGCAAAAGGGAGGGUGUGUUUGUCUUGGAAAGAGCUGAGCAUUAUACCUCUGGGACUGCUGGAAAUGCUCACCCUGAUAAACCUUCCCCAUAAAAGAAACCUCCCAGGAGCUCUCAGGUGGGCACCAGUGGGAUUUUUGAGACACCUGCUGGCAGAUGGUCCCUUUUCCUUGGAGGUCAGCUGGGCACGGGCUCUGC